rnacentral:rRNA from 1 species
UACGUAGGUGACAAGCGUUGUCCGGAUUUACUGGGCGUAAAGAGCGCGCAGGCGGUCGUUCAAGUCGAGUGUGAAAGCCCCCGGCUCAACUGGGGAGGGUCACUCGAUACUGAUCGACUCGAAGGCAGGAGAGGGUAGUGGAAUUCCCGGUGUAGCAGUGAAAUGCGUAGAUAUCAGGAGGAAUACCGAUGGCGAAGGCAGCCCCCUGGGUCGAUACUGACGCUCAUGCACGAAAGCGUGGGGAGCAAACAGG